ACUCAGAAAUACCAAGCCAGGGAUAUAGCUUAUGGCUCUCGUCUAAAAUCUGACCACUUGGGAGGGUGACACAGGAGGAUUGUUUGUGCUACAGAAUGAGAUUCAGAUCUAAACACAAAACAAGCUAACGACGCCAAGCCAACAACUGCACAAAGUCCUCAGAGGCCCCGAACCCAGGAGAGUAAGCAGGCUCCGGACCGGGAGGUGUCCUCACUGGGGCGAGGUGGGAGUGCGGUAAUGAGAUCCUCCCAGGCUAAGCCACUCCAGAGGGCUACGUGCUGUUUCAGCAAGGCUAUGGGUUACAUAACUACCUGACUAUGGAUAUGACUUUCACCAACGUGCCAACUCCAGAAACUAUAUAUAGGGAACUAUAUACAGAGCUAGGGGGUAAGGUAUUGGGAAGAGAUAUAGCUCCCUAAAAUGAAGAAACGAUGCAGAGGUUAUAUGUGUAUUUGGGGUUUUUUUUGUUUUGGUUUUUUUUUUUGUUUUUUUGUUGGGGGUGGGACGUUCAGACAGGGUUUCUCUGUAUAGCCUUGGCUGUCCUGGAACUCACUCUGUAGACCAGGCUGGCCUCGAACUCAGAAAUCUGCCUGCCUCUGCUUCCCAAGUGCUGGGAUUAAAGGCGUGGGCCACCACUGCCCAGCAUGUGUAUGUUUUAUGCAUGAAACAGUCUAACUACAUAGCCCUGGUCAGCAUAGAACUUACUAUGUAGAUCAGGCUACCCCUCAACGUGCAGCUGUCUCCUGCUUCUGCCUUCUAUGUGCUGGGUUUACAUAUGUGCACCACCAUGCCACACCUCCUGUAUCAAUAUUUUAUAUAGCUCAAUCCCUGGACCCUGAGGUAGAAGGAGAGAACCGACUCUCAAAAGUUUCCUCUGAUUUACACAAACUGUGACAUGCAAGCACCCCCACCAAUAAUAAAAAAUUUUAACAAA
rnacentral:lncRNA from 1 species